AUUUAAAUACAUGCUUGUUUUGCUCCAUUUGUAAGACUUAAAACAAAAACAAAAAAACCCACGGGAACAUAUCUGGAAAUAACCUUUGUAUUUUCAUGCAUUUGUUACACAGUCCAAUUCAGAAAGCAGAAAUUUAAGUAGAGGAAAGAAUGUAGUGUUACACUGCUAUCAGUUACACUUCAGUCUUGUCUUCCUGUCCUGGACUGAAUUUCUAUUUCAGAGUUAAAACGCUCUGUAAAAUUGCUGAAUGGCUCUUCAGUCUCUCCUUCUGUGGUUUUGGCAGUUUUGUGCAGCUUUGGUGAAGCCAUGUGUUUGAGAGUGGGGUGAACAGUGUUCUCCGCCUGCAGCCUGCCCUUCAUUUUGUAAAUUUAGAUCCUCUUUGUAAAGUUCUUGCUUAUAUUAAAUGCCCUGUAUGUUUUGAUCACCAUUUUUAAUGCUUUGGAGAAAUGGACCGUGAUUAGGUGCAAUGCUGGAGACAGGUUUCUCUGUUUCUUGAGAAGAUUGCUUUAAAGAAACUGGGCCAUCAACCAGCCAAUUUAGGAGUAUGUCAGAAUAUUUGUUUAAAUUUCUGUUUCUGGUAUAGGUGUGUAUUUUCAUCAUUUUUUUCUUUUUAAUUGAUUUUAAUUGAUUUGUUUGAAAGCAUCGCUCUGCUAUUAGGAAACUGAGCUCUAGGUUAAUAUGUAUGUACACUGGAAUGAAGUCAGGCUUUGAAUGGAUCUAACUUAUCUCCACUGUGGACACAGUAGUUUAAGACUUUCAGCUGCUUUAAUGAACAGAAGUGCAAUCUUCUAGCAUAAUUAGAGCAUUAAAAUUAAUGAUUUAUCAGUAAGUAAUAUAUUCUGAUUUGAAUGUACCAGGAUUUCUUUGCCUAAUUCCCCAUAUGAUGGAAUGAAUCUUUUCGUGACCAGCAUGGAUAUGAGAACGUUUUCAAGAUGGUUAAGAAUUGCAAUGAGGAACAAAGUGAAAGGACAAGAGGGAGCAUCUACUUCUAUUGACAUCUAA
rnacentral:lncRNA from 1 species